UACAGAGGGUGCGAGCGUUGUCCGGAAUCACUGGGCGUAAAGGGCGCGUAGGUGGCGCUCCAAGUCCGUGGUGAAAGCUCGAUGCUCAACAUCGAGUCGGCCACGGAGACUGGAGGGCUCGAGCACUGUAGGGGCAGAUGGAAUUCCGGGUGUAGCGGUGGAAUGCGUAGAGAUCCGGAAGAACACCGGUGGCGAAGGCGGUCUGCUGGGCAGUUGCUGACACCGAGGAGCGAAAGCGUGGGGAGCAAACAGG
rnacentral:rRNA from 1 species